GCUGGCCUCCGAAUCUUACCUCCGGACUGAUAGAAAUACAAGAUUCCAUCGAAGCUCGGGCGGUUGCGAUCAAAGAAAUAUUCGUUCCUCAUGGGGUCAAAGUAGUCAAUCCUUCUCAUGGGGUCUCCCAGCAAGGAGAGCCUCAUUGGGACUGCCCUCGCUGCUCAUCAGAACCUUCCAGUUGGAGAUCAGACUGUUGCAGCUCGAAGUUCCUUUCUUGCUGAGUGUUGGUGGAGAGGCUGGUGUGUGCCUUGGACGUCUUCCUCUCUGAGAGUUUAAUAGAGACAGGUAACCAUAACCUGAACAGAGGAUUUAAACAGCUACCCCUGGUACCACUUGACACCAUAGAACCCACAGCCGCCAAAGAGAAAAGCUUCUGGCUCCAUGACAGCUUGUGUGGCUACACUGGAAGUGCUUAGUCUGGGGAAAAUGCUGAAGAUGUGAAAACGCUCCACGGACAGAGAUGACAUCUAUAUCCUUCAACUGCGCGUGAGUGUGUGUGUGCUCACGUGUGUCUAGAAGAUUGAUCACCAAUGUGUGGGAAAGUUUCCUCACAUGCAUCACAGGUACAAACCCAUUGUUUUGUUUUAAGCACCUCUGGGGCUGGUCACUACCAUGUGCACGUGUACAGGCACAUUAUAUAAGUACUGUACUGUAUGUGCUAGAUUGUAUGUAUAACUUUGUGAAAAUACGGUAUCAUAUAUCUGAAUCAUCACAAAUCAUCCU